UGUGACACGGGCCAUGGUCACUCAUAUUUGGCUCAGGAUAAAUCUCUUCAAAUAUUUUACAGUUUGACUUUUCGUGGACAAUUCUGCAAAUAUUUCUCAGCAGUUAAAGAAAUUACUCCCCAGGAGGUGCUAGACAUUAGGUGAAUGUUAGACGCACAAAGAUGAGAAUGCUGAAGAUAUAACAUAAAACACCCGUCUGCUCUGGGAAUGCAGAAACUGGUAAAAGGAGAGAGAAAUGAGCAGGUGCAGUCGAAGUACCCGCUACUUCCUAUCAGCAUAUAGCUGUCCGCCUGGGGUGCAGCGAGCUGGAGAGGAAGGGGUGCCCUGGAGCGCCCGGGAAGGAUUCCUCUCCAGCCACCUCCACCCCUAUCCCGGUAGCGGCCCCUGGGAUCCUCAGUCUCCAAGAGAACCGGACCGCUCUCCCCUCCCUCCCGGGGCGAGAAAGGAGGACCACAGAGACGCGGCGCCCUCCGCCGUCCUAGAGCAACCGGAGCACCCCGAGCCCCGGCCUUCCGGAUGCGGGAGUCUGGCUGGCGCUUAGCGCUGGCAGUCGUGCGUGGGGUGGGCAGCCGUGCGUGGGGUGGCAGCGAGUGGAGUUGGGGGUCUUACCCGGGCGGCUGCAGGGCGCGGGGGUGCAGCGUCAGGCCUGCCCAGGUCCAGAGCACUCCUCCCCGACCCCUGCACCUCCGGCCGGGUCUGGGGGGCGCUCGCUUUCCCGGAGAGCGAGCUGGGCUGUGGCAGCCGCGGCCUUGGUGAGCGCGACACACCUCGGCCCUGCCUUCGAGCUGCUGCCGGUUCAGCUCACGCUGCCCCGGGCGUGCCCGGUGAGUGCGGGGCUGGAGCCUGGAAGCAGGCUCGGCCCUGCCCUGGGUUCUAGGCCCCGAGACGGAGUGUUGCGGCCGCUGGGAAGUGGGGGUACAACCCAGAAUGGGGGGCCUCGAGGGACAGGCAGCAGAGCGGAGUCGACACCCCCGGACAUGAGCCUCAAGGAGAGCAGACGUGCAACAGCACGGGGUUGAGCCGACUGCUGGGGCAGAGUGCACAGAGUGCUGUAGGGGGAUGAAUGGCCAGAAUUUCAGAGCCAGUUUUACAGAGCUGGUUAUGUUUGAACUGGGUAUUAGGUUGAAAAGGAAUUUGCAGUGCAGGAACAGGAGAGAACUGGAUAUUCAGGCAAGGGUAGCUGCAGGUGCAAGGGCACAGACCUUACACAGUAUGGAGACUGAGACCCUGAGGGAGGCAGUGCUGAGAAUUACAGGAACUCUCAAUGGCUGGAGGUCAGCACUGUUUGUUUCUCAAGGAAGAGGAUGAGAGAAAGGAAAGAACAUGCAGGAGCUGAGAUUCCUAGAGAUGUAGAAAAUGGGGACGUGGAGAUUGGAGUUUGGGGAAGCGAGGUGGGAUGUUUGAGAGCGUGUGUUGUGGAUGGGGGAGGGCAGGGAGUAAAGUCACAGCAAGGAUCUGCCCUGUGGAGUACAGUCUCCAGGGCAACAUGAGUGUUGGGAGGAUCCCCUAGCUGCCUCCGUGGCUGGUGGCAGUGACUGGGGAGGACAGAGAAGGAAGAGUCCUACACAGGGACAGCAGGGAUAGCAGGAGUGGGGAUGGAAGGCAGUAUGGCCUAACAGGCAAGAGCCAGAGUCAAACAGUCCUGGGUUCUGUCUCAGUUCUGGAACUUUUGGGGAAGUUAAUCCCUCUGAGCCUCAAUUUCCAUCUGAUACCCUCCUUGUAGGCUAUGAGACAUAAGUAAUAUAUGUCAAGUGCUUGGCACAGGCUUAAUAAAUGAUAGUUGUUAUCAAGGGUGGGUGACCUCUGAAGGAGGACACAUUGUGGAGAGAGGAUGGGACCUAGAGUACAGAUGUGGUUUGGGAUAUAAGGAUGAAACUAGAAAACGUUUGCAGACUCUUAAAAAAAAAAGAUGAUGUUUGCUGAAAUAAAGAUGAAAAGACAUGAGAAAAUUGAUGGCUGAUGCCUUGUCUCUGUACAUAGGAGGCAAAAAUCUUCUGCUGAGAGAGUACCUGUAGAUAUUCAGAACCCAGAAUCCCCACAGGCAUCCCCACAGUACCUUUUGGUGCCCUGUCUCCCCUUCCUCCUGGCCUGGUCCUGGGGUUGUCCUAGGGCAUUUAAACACUUCUUGUUUCAGGAGUCAGUGACCUUCGAAGAUGUGGCCGUCUACUUCUCUGAGAAUGAAUGGAUCAGCCUGGGCCCUGCUCAGAGAGCCCUGUACAGGGAUGUGAUGCUGGAGAAUUAUGGGUCUGUGGCUUCCCUGGGUAAGGGUCUCUCCCUUUGGGCCCUGCCUCCACCCUUCAGAGUUUCCUGGCUUCUUUCUCAAAGGCUCAGGAGUUGUUGAUAACCCUCAGCUCAGUGGCAGCUUCAGGCUCUUAGAUUUUUAAUGACCCAAUCUCAGCAGUUGUUGGGAAGUAGGAAGUCCUGGUAUCAGUUUGGGCCUUAUACAGGAUUUCCUUGCCCCAGAGUGAGAGCUGCCCAACCCCUACCCUUGUGUUGUGGGGAUAGUGAGAAGAGAGCAGAUUCAUGGUGCCCCAUUGAGCCUUCAGUUCCCUGCCCUCUCGGUUUGCAAGAUCCAGCCCAAUUCCAAGCAUCCUCAUGAGGAUGUCUGAACUUGAGAGCACUAAGAGGGAGAGGACAGAUAAGAAUUGAGGACUCAAUUCCUCAAUGAGUGAAAUUAUCCAUUUGCUGACUCAAACAGUUGUUGAGUCCUCUGUCAACUUCCUAACCUUUGUAAGUCUCCUGGCUCCUCUCCUGUCCUUUACCCUGGAAUUCCAUUUCUUCUUCCUCUUAGUUAUUUUUCAUUUUCCCCUCCUGCCCCUGAAGACACUGGCCUGGGAGGAGCCUUGGGAUUACUCUGUGUCACACCACUCACUUGCCUGCCCUGUUUCCUUCCCCUUAAGCAGCAUUUCCAUUUCCCAAACCGGCUCUGAUUUCCCAGCUGGAGCGAGGCGAAGCACCCUGGUGCUCGGCUCCUUGGGGAGCUCUGGAUGGAGAGGGCCAGAGGGGCAUCUCCUCAGGAUAUCUAUUUCUAAAGCCUGCUGGAAUUUCCCAUCUUGAGCAGGUGGAAGAGCCAUUGAACCUGAAACUGCAAGGAGAGGGUCCAAGCCUACUUUGUCCUGAAAAAUGAUGAAGCUGUAACAGAAUGUGAAUCAGAUACUAUGAGAACAAAGAGGAGGGAGUCUUUGCCCAGUUCUGCCUGGAGUAGUUUGAGAAAGCACUUUUCAUGGUUUCAUGGUGAACUUGGUGAUUGGAUUGAAAGAGAAGACUAUACUAUACUUUAGUGUUGAAAAGUGUGAGGAAGCUCAUUCUUGCUACUGUCCACGUGUGUGACAAGCCCAGGUUCCCAGGUAUACCACUAAGGAUUACUUAUUUCUGAACAGGUCCUCUGCCCUAUGUCCUGGCCUGUUCUUCUCAUGUUAUAAACUGUACUCAGCUACCUAGGAGGAAUUCUGACUUGUUUGCCUUAGAUUCAAUUCACCUGUUUUCUGAGAGCCUACCCUGGGACUUGGUUUGGUGCUUGGAAUCAUAGCCCUCGGAUUCUAUCUAGUUGCUGUCUUUUGCUUUUGGUUUCUGUGUGUUAGCCUUGUUUUUGCCAUUUUCAGCUAGGACAGGCCACUGAGACAUGGGUGGCACUUAGAGAGAAGUGGACAUAUUAAUACUACUUGGCGACCUUAGUUGCACUGUCAUGGAUAAUGAUGACAUUUGUAGCUCUGAUUUCUUUUUUCAGAGGGCGUGUGGAAGAGGAAGAAAGAUUUUAUUCUGAAGGGGGAAAUUCUUGAGGAAGCACAGGACCUCAUGGUCCCAUCAAGUGGACCCAGGUGGUGUGGAUCCCGGGAAUUAUGGUUUGGGAAAACCUGUAAAGGGAAAAGCAGGUUAGGGAGAUGGCCUGGUUACCUCAAUGGGGGAAGUAUGGAAAAUUCAACAAAUGAUAUUAUAGAAGUGAUUGUCAAGGAUGAGAAGAUCUCAGUAGAAGAGAGUUCAGAGAAUACUAUCAAUAAACUCAUUGGUAUAUAUCACACAAUUCUAAAUGAGCAAACAUUCUAUAUAUGUGAAGAAUGCAGCAAGUGUUUUGAUCAAAUUGAGGACUUUGAUCAACACCAGAGAACUCAUAAUGGAGAGAAGGUCUAUGAAUGUAAGGAAUGUGGGAAGGCUUUCAGUUUUUGAUCACAUUGCGUUGCAUAUCAGAGAAUUCACAGUGGGGUGAAACCCUAUAAAUGUCAAGAAUGUGCUAAGGCCUUUGUUUGGAAGUCACCAGAGAAUACAUACUGGAGAGAAACCCUUUGAAUGUAAGGAAUGUGGGAAGGGCUUUAGUCAGAACACAAACCUUACACAACAUCAACGGAUCCAUACUGGGGAGAAACCAUACACAUGCAAGGAAUGUGGGAAAAGUUUUACUCGAAACCCAGCACAUCUUCGACAUCAGAGGAUGCACAUUGGGGAGAAGCCUUAUGAAUGUAAGGACUGUGGGAAAGGCUUCAUGUGGAACUCAGAUCUUGCUCAGCACCAGAGGGUCCACACUGGUGACAAGCCUCAUAAAUGUACUGACUGUGGGAAAACCUUCUUUUGCAAGGCACACCUUAUUCAACAUCAAAGAAUCCAUACUGGGGAAAGACCCUACAAAUGUAAUGACUGUGGGAAGGCCUUCAGUCAGAAUUUUGACUUAAUUAAGCACCAGAGGCGCCAUGCUAGCGACAAACUGUAUAACUGUCAGAUCUCUCACCUUCUUGAACAUGAGUGAGUGCAUAAUGGUGAUGAUACUUGUUUAUAAAUCUUAUGCUACAGGAACCCCAGAGACAAAAUGAGAUGACCGUUCACAAUUUGCUGUAACCCUUAACUUUAAUAGCCGGUAUUAUCUUGCCCUUUUGAACAUAUAUCAUGUACUCUAGCCAGAUUGGUCCCUCUGUUCUGUGAUGUUUGUACAAGGCAUCAUUUAGUUGGGCAGCUACUCUUAUCAGGUGCUAACCACUAUACAUACAUUGAUUAAUUUGUAUAACAAUCCUGUUAAGGUAGGUGCUCUUCUCCCCAUUUUAUAAAUGAGAAAUCUGAAUUGAAAGAGGUUAUAAAACUCAUUCAGGGUUUCUCAGUAAGUUAUAGAUUUGAAAUUGGAGCCAGGCCUAUCUGACUGCAGAGUUCGUACUGGUCUUUACUUAGUUGUACAUAUUUAUGCCUCUGCCCGUUAUUAUUUGCUCAUUUUCCUGUGCUUUUAGUUUCCCUUCAUCACUUAGAUCCAGCUCCUUCAGCUAAGCAGAUCUGUCUUCCUCAGCACCACCCAAGUUAGUAUUUAAUUAUGUGUCAUCUAUAUUUUUCUAAUAGUCUCAUGUCUCAGUCUUAAUCUCAGCUAAAUGACUCUUUGAGGACCAACACUGCAUUUCUUUGAUAUUUUUCAAAUUCUCAAACAUUUAUCUUUGACUAAAUGUAACAUGCACAUAAUAAAAAAAGAAUUGAAAUAGUUGAAAAGGGUGUUCAGUGAAAAGUAAAUUUCCUUGUCAUUCAUGUCUCAAUUCUCCACAGGGGCAAUCACUGCUAAUGGUUGUGUAUGGCUGUAGAUAUUUUUUGUAUACAAGUGUUUAUUAGUACUGCUUUUCAUAAGUCUGCCUCGCUGAAAACCUUAUUUGAUGGAGGCAACAUUGCAGUUACAUUGUCAACUCUAGGACCUUUUCUUCAGAAGUUGCUGUGAGGUCACCAAAGUAAUUUAGGGCAACAGCAGAGGGUAGUCCAGGUCUUGAGAAAACUGAUUGCCCUUGUUUCAUGAGACACCAUUCUGGGAUUGGGAAUAUGUAAACUCAACUGGAGAUUUUUUUCAUAAAAAUUUAUAUAGUUUGGCUUGUGUCAAUCAGCUUAUCCCAUCCCUGGCCACAGAGCCACUGUGAUAUGAGGAGAUACUGGGCCUUCUGGAAAAGAAAGACUUUUCUUUGAGAGCUACCAGAGGAGAUAUUAUCUGUCCUCUGUGUGGCACAUAGGAAAAUGUGAGGCCUAGAACUACAGCAACUUUUUUUUUCUACUAAGAGGGGAGAUUCUAGAGCUUCCAGGUGCUACCAUGUGGAGCCUGAGGCUAAAACCAAUACCAAAGAAGACAGUGGCAAAAUAGAGAGAAACUAGAUCCUUGGUGACAUCUUUUGAGCCGCUAGACCAAGCCUUACCUGAAGCAGACAUACCUCAGAACUUUUCAGCUAUGUGAGCCAAUAAACAUCUUUUGUCAAA